rnacentral:rRNA from 1 species
AUUCCAGCUCCAAUAGCGUAUAUUAAAGUUGUUGCAGUUAAAAAGCUCGUAGUUGGAUUUCUGGUUUGAUGCCCUGGCCCGCUUCAAAUUUUGGAGUGUGUGCCGGCUGUGCGUCUGCCAUCCUUCUAGAAAACGUUCGUACCCUUCACUGGGCCGCGUUCGAGAUCUAGAUCUUUUACUUUGAAAAAAUUAGAGUGUUUAAAGCAGGCAGUUGCUAUGAAUACAUUAGCAUGGAAUAAUAAUCUAGGACUUCGGUUCUAUUUUGUUGGUUUCUAGUACUGAAGUAAUGAUUGAUAGGGAUAGUUGGGGGUGCUAGUAUUGAGCGGCCAGAGGUGAAAUUCUUGGAUUCGCUCAAGACUAACUUAUGCGAAAGCAUUCACCAAGGACGUUUUCAUCA